rnacentral:rRNA from 1 species
CAGCUCCAAUAGCGUAUAUUAAAGUUGUUGAGGUUAAAAAGCUCGUAGUUGAACCUUGGGCCUAGCCGGCCGGUCCGCCUCACCGCGUGCACUGGCUCGGCUGGGUCUUUCCUUCUGGAGAACCGCAUGCCCUUCACUGGGUGUGCCGGGGAACCAGGACUUUUACUCUGAACAAAUUAGAUCGCUUAAAGAAGGCCUAUGCUCGAAUACAUUAGCAUGGAAUAAUAGAAUAGGACGUGUGGUUCUAUUUUGUUGGUUUCUAGGACCGCCGUAAUGAUUAAUAGGGACAGUCGGGGGCAUCAGUAUUCAAUUGUCAGAGGUGAAAUUCUUGGAUUUAUUGAAGACUAACUACUGCGAAAGCAUUUGCCAAGGAUGUUUUCAUUAAUCAGGAACGAAAGUUAGGG